rnacentral:lncRNA from 1 species
UCUUCGUUAGCUUCUUAAUUUGUUUCUAUUUUGAGAAUAUUUCAGAAUAAUAAAUGAUUUCACAAGUCGAUUUGGAUCUGUGUUGCCUUAAGUUUUAUAUGUUUUUUUUAUUUGUUUUUCCAUUGUUUAUUAAGUCUUCAGUUUUAGAAGUUUUUGUUUACUCUUGUAGCACAGUUUUUAGCCUUGUUUAUAUAUGUAAUCUUAAUUUUACAAGUGAUUUUAGGGAUGAUUUUGUUGUAGUCCUCUAUAGUUUGGUGAAUGCUCGAUUAUUUUGUCGAUUGUUGCUCGCCGCUUUGGACCAUUCGGGGUUGAUUUCCUUAUCAUGUUAAGUACUUGCAAUCACUCCAGAUAUGUCAUGCUUGAAUUGUGCAAAGCCAAUUAUCAACGUGUUAUAAUGUUCUAUUGAUGCUGAGGCUAAAGCCUUUGUUGUGUUGUUAGAGCUUAUCCUUCAUCAUCUACAACGAGUGUUUGUUAUUUUUUCC